CCCGCCGAGGGGCGCUGCGACCAUGGGUCCGACCCAUAGGCCAGGCUCGGCGCGGCGUCCCACCAAACGGCGCCCCCGUGAA
rnacentral:ncRNA from 2 species